rnacentral:lncRNA from 1 species
GCGAGAGAGAGAGAGAGAGAGAGUUGUAGUUCACCGCUCUCUGACUGGUGAGAUAACUUGUGCACCAUCAGAAAAUGACUGGUGCAGUAUCAUCACCUUGUGGUAAGAAAGAGAAUGGCCAGAAAGAACGUCAGGGACAACCAGGCUCAGUGGUCUCCCAUUCCUAGUAUUUACAUUCUUUGUUCACGAAAACUAAAAGUCACCAAGUUUCCCACUGCUUUGCCAUUAUGAUCAAGCGGAAUGCCAUAGUUUGACAAGGCAGUGUAGCUUGUGGACAAUGGUCUCAAUCAGUCUAAAUUAUACAUUUAAGCCAGCCUUCUUUUUUAUUAUUUUUUAUUUUACCUUUAUUUAACUAGGCAAGUCAGUUAAGAACACAUUCUUAUUUUCAAUGACGGCCUAGGAACAGUGGGUUAACUACCUGUUCAGGGGCAGAACGACAGAUUUGUACCUUGUCAGCUCGGGGGUUUUGAAUGUCCUACAGUCUAACCACUAGGCUACCCUGCCGCCCCAUUCUGACCAUAUGUAAGAGUUACUGUAUAAACAAGCCCAUACAUUCUGCAGUGAGCAAUCUAAUUAUGUAACCACGUCCAUGAUAAGUAUCUGUUCCUCUUCUUUAAGUAUCUGUUCCUGGACACUCCUUGGAAUUCAGAGUAUGAAAAGGAAGUCUUGAAAAUCUUUCGAUCAACAGGCUCAUGAUCUCAAGCUUUGUUUAACCGGAGAAAAGGAACCUGAACAACAUUUGGAUAGAUAAUAAUAAUGUUUGACUGAGUCCGUGUGAACUGAAAGGUCAUCUAUGCAAUAACUAGUGGAGUUUUAUUCAAGGGCACUAUUCUACGGACCCUACCCAGUGUGUGGACAAUGCAGUGGCCUAUUCAUAUGUAGUAGUUAUUGAAACUGACACCUACCAUUACUCACGAGAUGCACUGUGUGAGGAUGACCCAUUUGGUUUCAAUGGGGUUGUGGUUACAGAAGAGGUGUCUUUUCCAAUACGGAGAUGUACUCCAUUUCUAAGCCAUAACAGGCCAAACAACCUUGCAGAAGCAGACAGAGGUCUGUCUGGAAAUAAUGAAAUAGUGGAUCUGGUGGCAGUAGAAGAACAAUCCUUUCCAAACUUCACUCCAAGACCUUCUCACCAUGUGCAUCUACCUCAUAUACAUCCUACUGUGACCAACUAUCUCACUCAAGGUCAAGGGCAUGGCUCACUACAACAAGAUAUGGAGCCCUCAGGACUGAUCGAGCGUUGGUAUGAAGAAUCGAACACGGUGGACGAUGACAAACAGGAUCGGGAGGAAUACUGA